UACGUAGGGGGCUAGCGUUGUCCGGAAUCAUUGGGCGUAAAGCGCGCGUAGGCGGCCCGGUAAGUCCGUUGUAAAAGUCAAAGGCUCAACCUUUGAAUGUCAGUGGAUACUGCCGGGCUAGAGUCCGGAAGAGGCGAGUGGAAUUCCUGGUGUAGCGGUGGAAUGCACAGAUAUCAGGAGGAACACCAACGGCGAAGGCAGCUCGCUAGGACGGUACUGACGCUGAGGCGCGAAAGCGUGGGGAGCGAACAGG
rnacentral:rRNA from 1 species